rnacentral:lncRNA from 1 species
AAAAAGAUAAAAGAUAAUUGAACUCUAUUUAAAUUUCACUUAAAAUAAAAAACAAAUAAAUAAUAUCUAAAUAUGUGCGAUUUUGUGGUCUAUUUUUAGGAAUUUAUCCCAAAUGGAGUUUUGCUCAUAUAAUAAAAUUAUUGCAAUCCUCUAUCACUAUUACUUAGUCACAACCAUUUCUCUGUCAUUUUUUUUUUUUUUGUGUGUUUACCUUUUCCUAUCCAUUAUAAGAGUAUCUCUUCUCCUUUCCUUUUUUGAUUUUUUUUUUUGACAUUUUUUGUUGAUAUGAGAGAUUUUUGUGGUUUGAAAGAGUAAGACUUUCAUUUUUUUUUUUCCCCAUAGUUUACCCAUUGUUUUUAAGGAUUAAUUCUCCUUUCCUUUUUAUGAAAAGUUUCUUAGUUUUGUUGUUGAUAUGAGAAAGAUUUUUGUGAUUUGAAGUGUUAAUCCUUAAAAACAAAACAAAACAAAUUAUAGGUUGUUGUUCUUGCUUUUCUGGUGAAGAAAAAUGGUAAGUCGUUUCGACAAGUUUUGUUGAGAGAAGUAAGGAGAAGUUGUUGUAUAGGAAGGGUUACUCAAAGUUUGGGCUAAAUAACAGAGAUGGAAGCAAGACUAGUGUCACGAGAUGCUUCAAAUGACCCUCCCCUUAGGGGUUAUAUAGAGGUCAAGAAACUUAUGGAGACUCCUACUCUUGGCCAUUGGAGAGGAGUGUGGAAGGUUCUAUAGAUGCCUAGAGAAGUCCACACAUCUCUACACUAUGGUGGAAGACAUGAGAGGAGUCCAAGGCUUUCUAUAAAAUUUGACAUUAAAUUUACCAUGAAAUUGCCAAAAUUAAUUUACAAUCUCUCUCUUUAAUUAAAUUCUCUUCAAGCUUGGUUU